rnacentral:rRNA from 1 species
AAUCAACGCUGGCGGCGUGCCUCAGACAUGCAAGUCGAACGAUUAAACUUUCCUUCGGGAAAGAUAUAAAGUGGCGCACGGGUGAGUAACACGUAGGUAAUGUGCCUUUGGGUGGGGAAGUAACUUAGGAACUUAAGCUAAUACCGCAUAAUGCAGCGGCUCCUUCGGGAGACAGUUGUUAAAGAUUAUCGCCAAAGAGCAGCCUGCGGCAGAUUAGCUAGUUGGUAAGGUAACGGCACCAAGGCGACGAUCUGUAUCCGACCU